GGAGAGAUGUCCGAGCGGCUGAUGGUGCACCCUUGGAAAGGGUGUGUGCGGCUAACCGCCGCACCGGGGUUCGAAUCCCCCUCUCUCCG
rnacentral:tRNA from 1 species